AACGAGAUUAUAAAAUCAUAGGCAAUACGGACAUGAAUUCGUACAUAUGGUCUACUGAGAGAUUCAUGCAUAAAUUAAAGCCUCCAAUGGUGAAAGCGAUGAAUAAAGAUAAUGACAAUGAUCGAUUCUAACGAAUCUUAGAAAAGCUUAACUGAUUGGAGACGUCUGUCAAACUAAUGAAAGUGGAGCCACAUUCCGAAAACCAAC
rnacentral:lncRNA from 1 species